rnacentral:rRNA from 1 species
AGAGUUUGAUCCUGGCUCAGAGUGAACGCUGGCGGCAUGCCUAACACAUGCAAGUCGAACGGUAACGGGCCCGCAAGGGUGCCGACGAGUGGCGGACGGGUGAGGAAUACAUCGGAAUUUGCCCAGUCGUGGGGGAUAACGUAGGGAAACUUACGCUAAUACCGCAUACGACCUAACGGUGAAAGCGGGGGAUCGCAAGACCUCGCGCGGAUGGAUAAGCCGAUGUCGGAUUAGCUAGUUGGCGGGGUAAAGGCCCACCAAGGCGACGAUCCGUAGCUGGUCUGAGAGGAUGAUCAGCCACACUGGGACUGAGACACGGCCCAGACUCCUACGGGAGGCAGCAGUGGGGAAUAUUGGACAAUGGGGGCAACCCUGAUCCAGCAAUGCCGCGUGUGUGAAGGAGGCCUUCGGGUUGUAAAGCACUUUUAUCAGGAACGAAACACGCAGUUUUAAUACAGCUGCGGACUGACGGUACCUGAGGAAUAAGCACCGGCUAACUUCGUGCCAGCAGCCGCGGUAAUACGAAGGGUGCAAGCGUUACUCGGAAUUACUGGGCGUAAAGGGUGCGUAGGUGGUUCUUUAAGUCUGCUGUGAAAUCCCCGGGCUCAACCUGGGAAUGGCAGUGGAUACUGGAGAGCUAGAGUGCGGUAGAGGGUAGUGGAAUUCCCGGUAGCAGUGAAAUGCGUAGAGAUCGGGAGGAACACCAGUGGCGAAGGCGGCUACCUGGACCAGCAUUGACACUCAAGCACGAAAGCGUGGGGAGCAAACAGGAUUAGAUACCCUAGUAGUCC